AGAUUGAACGCUGGCGGCAGGCCUAACACAUGCAAGUCGAGCGGCAGCACGGGUACUUGUACCUGGUGGCGAGCGGCGGACGGGUGAGUAAUGCCUAGGAAUCUGCCUGGUAGUGGGGGAUAACGCUCGGAAACGGACGCUAAUACCGCAUACGUCCUACGGGAGAAAGCAGGGGACCUUCGGGCCUUGCGCUAUCAGAUGAGCCUAGGUCGAUUAGCUAGUUGGUGGGUAAUGGCUCACCAAGGCGACGAUCCGUAACUGGUCUGAGAGGAUGAUCAGUCACACG
rnacentral:rRNA from 1 species